UUAAUUCAAAUGAUUAAAACCUUGAUUUAAAUAUAAUUUGUUCUCAAAAAAUUUUAUUUGAGAAAAAAAUAUAUGCUUAAUUUUGUUAAAUCAAGAAGCUCGAGAUUAAAUGAGGUAUGAAUUUGUUUUGAAUUUUGAUUUAAUUUGGCUAAUCUAUUAGAUUUUGCCAUAAUUAAAAUUAAAUUAGCCAUAAUUACGAUGAAAUUGACCAAUUGAUUUUCAAUGUGGUCAAAACUUAAAUAGAAUUAGCAUCCUUAAUCCUUAAAUAACCUAAUCUACCUAAAAUCCUUCCAAAUCCUAACCUACCCAGGCCAAUUCAGCAAUAAUAGACCCAUUACUUAAUUAACCUGCUUCAGCCACCAUACCCAGCCUAAUUUUUUUCCGUAUGUCGACAUCAUCAACAGCUGCUAACAACAUCAACAUGUGAUAUCAAAACAGUCGACAAUACCAACAACUUCUUCAUCGACCAAAAAGCGUACAACACUAACAUCAAUGUGGCAACAACAACUGCUACAUGAACCGACCCAACAACCAUGCUCCAGCCGCCGACCCAAACUUGAGGACCCCACCCACAACAAUAUCAGCGACUGCGAAAUCAACAACAUCAGUUACAAAAUAAUGCAGCUGCAACUAGUAAGAGCUUUUUGAAUUUCAAAAAUUCUAAUUCGUACUGAGUAGUACAAUUUCUAGCUUAACAAACCCUAUCCUCAAUUUCAAAAUUUGAAUUCCCUCACAAAAUUGCCUAAACUCAUAAAUUCUUUUUCCCACAUUAGUGGAUUCAAAAAAUUGAAUCCCCA
rnacentral:lncRNA from 1 species